UCUCUGUAAACUUAUAUAAUUACCGGAAAAAGACUAUGGUGGGAGCACCAAAAAUGCUCUUUCAAAAUGUAAUAUAUAAAUAAAAAAAAAGGAAGAAACUAGGAUUGAGGACAUGAAUUAGAAAUAUCCAAGAUGUGAAUAUAUCUCUUUUGAGAUAUAAAUAAAACAAACUUAUCUGUUGUGGAGAGGAUUAGGACCAGUGUAUACUUUCCUCUUGUCUGCACCAAAAACUUGAUGAUCAUCAUUGUUCUUCCCAUUGGUGGCACCACCUCCAUGGAAUGUUGUAGAAGAUUUGAGUUGAGAUAAUGUUGGUCUCAUCAUCAUCCUCCCAUCAUAAGCAGCUUCAAUAGAUGAUGGAGGAGUAGUAGUGGUCAAUAGUAAGAUCAACAAAAUUAACACCAUUUUUGGGUUUACACAAAUCAUGGCAUGUGGGAAGCAAGGAGAAGCUAAUAAGGGUUUUUGAGGAUGAAAGUCAAUGGAAGAAGAAGAGAGAUCCAAAAAUAUGCAUAGAACUUGAUGCCCACUAAUUUUAUAAUUGGUCCCCCGGUAAUACAAAUUUCAGAGCCUGGUUUCUUGUUUUGUUUUUUGCUCUUACAAUUACAAACAAAUCAAAAGGCCUUAACUUCACUAUACUCUCUCUACUCUCUAGCUACUAGGCACCAUUAGAGAGAGAGAGAGAGAGAGAGAGAGAGUUUGUUGGUUGGUAUAGCUAAAGUGAGAAAGUG
rnacentral:lncRNA from 1 species